GUGACAUACCACUUGUUGCCUCGGCGGAUCAGCCCGCUCCCGGUAAAACGGGACGGCCCGCCAGAGGACCCCUAAACUCUGUUUCUAUAUGUAACUUCUGAGUAAAACCAUAAAUAAAUCAAAACUUUCAACAACGGAUCUCUUGGUUCUGGCAUCGAUGAAGAACGCAGCAAAAUGCGAUAAGUAAUGUGAAUUGCAGAAUUCAGUGAAUCAUCGAAUCUUUGAACGCACAUUGCGCCCGCCAGUAUUCUGGCGGGCAUGCCUGUUCGAGCGUCAUUUCAACCCUCAAGCACAGCUUGGUGUUGGGACUCGCGUUAAUUCGCGUUCCUCAAAUUGAUUGGCGGUCACGUCGAGCUUCCAUAGCGUAGUAGUAAAACCCUCGUUACUGGUAAUCGUCGCGGCCACGCCGUUAAACCCCAACUUCUGAAUGUUGACCUCGGAUCAGGUAGGAAUACCCGCUGAACUUAAGCAU
rnacentral:rRNA from 1 species